UAUUCGUACUUACUAUAAAUCUGCUCAUGUUCUGUCCCGUCUCAAAUGGAGCAAAAAAUAAAAUAAAAAUUGAUCUGCCUAAAGUCUGCGUCUGACCCGCCAAGGAACCACCAAGGAAGGAACCGGGGCGGGCCGUGAGCGAUUCCUCCCGCCCCCAAAUCCGCCCCCUAUGCAUCUCUCACAUCCUGACUCCAGAUCUGUCUUUUUUGCAUUCUUAAUUGAAUCAUCCGUGUGCAGAAAUAUUCUGUAUAUAAAAUUGAAUAGGAUAAGUUGGAAGCUUUUUGUUGUGAUAGGAGGAUGAAAUAAAAUUAUGAUGUCUAAAAAUGUAAACUUUGUUGUGAAUUAGAUCCUGUCUAUAUUGCAGAAAAAAGUGAUUGAUAAAUUUUUACUUUUGAAAAAGACUUAUAUAUUAGUAAAAAUAUAAAACUUAUCGGAACUAUGGGUUUUAUUGAAUCAACUAUCCAACCUUUCAAAGUUUUAAUUUUACUAUUCAAUCUUUCUAAUUUAUUUGGUUUGCAACAUUCAACGGCUUUUCUUUAAAUAGAAAAAAUUAUUUAAUGGUACUUGAAUUUUAAAAUUUGAAUGUGUCGUUCAUCUUUAUAGAUUUAGUUAGUAUACUUCAUUUAAUUAUUACAACUAUAAAUUUGUUAAAACAAGUAAUUACUUUAAAUUUCAAAGUCGAAAUAUCGUUGACUAACUCAAAUCAAAUAAAUUGAGAGGUUGGGUGGUAAAAUUAAAAUUUUGAAAAGUUCGAUAAUAAAUUCAAACUAAUCUAUAAUUUAUAUAUAUUCUAAAUAUUUUUACCUAAAAUAGUUUAUCAAACACCAUCAAACAAACACCAUCAAAC
rnacentral:lncRNA from 1 species